rnacentral:lncRNA from 1 species
AUGCUUUCAUGAAAUGCGUCACAGCACAAACAUUUCACAUCACGGAUUGGACAUGACCUCAAAACUCCCUCUGUCGAUGCCCGGCCCCAAAGGAGCUCACACAGGACUUUCAUAGUGCCCGGUCCACAGAAAGCUCACACAGGACUUUCAACACAUAGUAUGGUGCCCGACCCUAAAAGGGCUCACACAGGACUUAUCCAUCAAAUGC